rnacentral:lncRNA from 1 species
GUUUUCUCUUCAUUUUGCAGGUAUGGCUGACACUUAGAAGAAUCUAAGACCAGAUUCAGAAGAAAGUUUGAGUGCAGUUUUAUUAGAAUUUCAACAAAACAAAACAAAACUGCAGGGCCGGCAAGUUGUAAAUCUCAGCAGCUGUCUGGAGGAGGGAGGUGAAGUAGAAGAGAGAAAGCCACGUUGGAUCUAAACAGCCAGAUGAUGGAGCCAUCUGAGGUUCCAAUUAUGACAGAAAAUGUGACACUUGUGGCUUAUUUCACUUAACAUGAUGAUCUCCAGUUCUAUCCAUUUUCAUGUAAAUCACUUCAUUUUGUUAUUUUGAAAAGUCCUGAACAAUUAAUGUAUAUUAGUUUUCUUAAAUAAUGGGUUUCAUCGUGACAUUUCUUAUACAUGUAUAUAACAAUGUGAGUUCACCAUAUUCACUUUCUAUUACCCCUCUAUGGGUCUCCUCCUUUCUUCUUAUUUUCAAGUUGUGUGUGUGUACACCUAGAUUUCACAUAUGAGAGAAAAAUGUGAUAUUUAUCUGUCAGAGUCUGCACUUGACUAUUACAAAUGAUUUUUUUUUAAAAAAUAAUUAUGUGUAGGUAUAUGACUACAACAUAUUAAAGCAGGUGGACUCAGAGGCCAGAAAUAUUGGAUCCUCUGGAACUGGAGUAAAAGUAGGUUAUGAGCAGCCUGGCGUGGGUGCUGGGGACUGAACUCUGCUCCUCUACUAGGUGGUAUUAGCUAUCUUUCCAGACCCCGAGUUUUUCCAUUUUUAAAUUGGAUUAAUUUUUGUGGUUUAUUUAUUUAUUUUACUUAUUUUACAUACUCUAUAUUCUAAUAUUCUGUAGGAUAAAUAGCUGGUAAAGGUUUUCUUCUAUUGUGGGAAUUGUAUUUUCAUUCUGUUGAGUGUUUCCCUUUUUAAACAUUUAUUUAUUGUAUGUGUGUAUGAUAUAUGCGUGUAUGAUGUGUGUAUGAGCAUGUGUGCAUGCUUGUGCAUGUGUGUGUAUGUGUUUGGUAUGUUUGUAGUGAUCUAGAAGUCCUACAGCAAUAGCUCUCAGAAUCAUCUAAAAGAUUUGCAAAAACACAGAUUGUUGGAUCCCCAUUCUCGGGGAUUAUGAGACAAUGAAUCUAAGAUGGAGCCUCAGAAUUUGCAUUUCUAACCAUUUCCCAAGUGAUAGUAUGGUUGUUGGUCCACAGAUCACACUGUCUAUUAUGCCAUGCCUGUGGAGGUCAGAGGACAAGUUUCAGGAGUCAGUUCUCAUCUAUUUCAUCUAUUAUAGAACUCAGUUGUUUGGCUUGGUGGCAAGUUCCUUUAUCUACUCAGCUAUCUUACUGGACCUGAUUGCUUUCUUCAUUGUACAGAAGAUUUUUAACUUGAUGUAAUCCUGUUUGUCAUAGUUUGUCUCCAUUUUCUACACUUUCAAUUUUCCUGAGGGAAUUGCUACCUGGGCCAACAUCUUCAAGGGUUUCCCUUGUACUGUAGCUUAGUAGUUUCAGAGUUUUAGGUUAGACAUUAGGUUCUUUGAUCCAGUUCAAUUGCUUUUUAUACAGGAUGAGAAAUAGGUAUCUCAAGUUAGUCCUCUACAGGUAGAGAUACAGAACCAUUUAUUAUAGAGAUUGCAUUUCCAUCAACAGUUUUUUUUUGAUACUUUCCACUUGAUACAGUUUUGGUAAGUCAUAUGUGUCCAGUGUCCAGAAACAUACCAAUUUCUUCUAGAUCUUCCCAUUUCUUUCUAUACAGUUUAUAAAAAGACUAAUGAGACUUUGAAUUUCUCUGUUAUCAGUUAUCUUUUCUUGCUUCCAAUUUCUCUUUUUUAUUCUGGCUAAAGGUUUGUCAUUUUUCAAAGAACUUUUUUUUUCUUCAAAGAACUAAGGCUAAUUCAUUGAUUCUUUGAAUUGUACUCUAGUCUCUAUGUAGCAGGUUGAAUGAGAAUGGCCCUCAGAGGCUCACAUAUUUGAAUGCUUGGUCCUCAGUGGGUGCUACUCUUUGGCAAGGAUUAGGAGGUGUGGCCUUGUUGGAGGAAGAGUAUCACUGGCAAUGGGCUUUGAAGUUUCAAAAGGCUCUUCCUCAUUCCCAGUUAGUUUUCUCUCUCCUAUUUUUGUAUAAGGAUUUGAGCUCUCAGCUACUGCUCCAGCUCCGUGCCUGCUUACCUGCUGCCAUGUUUCCUGCCAUGAUGGUCAUGUUAACCCUUUGGAAUUGUGAACCUCAAAUUAAAUGUUUUCUUCUACAAGUUGCCUUGGUCAUGCUUUGUCAUAACAAUAGAAAAGUUACCUAAGACACACCAUUUCAUUUCUUUAUGCUCUGGUGUUUAUUUACUUGAUUUUCUUUGAUGUACUACUCAUUGCUAAGAACUUCCCUUCUAGCACUGCUUUGACUAUAUCUCACAGAGUUUGCUCUGCCUGUUUCUAGGUUUACUCAAGUUAAUGAAUUUUAAGACUAACCCUGUGACCUUUUCAGUCACUGAAAGUAUCUGUGUUAUUCAGAGCUGAGGAUAUGCCUCAGAUGGUAGAGUGCUUUACAUAACUAAUCACCUUUAUGAUUGGAUUUAGUACUUAUUUCACAGUACAGAAUUUACACUUGGUAUAGUAAAACUGGUCAAAAUAACAAGGCUGGAAAGGCUCUUGCUGCUGGUUUUGCUAAAUAGACAUGAUAUCACAUUGCCUUUUAAUCAACUAUAUUUCUACUCAGAGAUUGGUGUUGCUCUCACUUUAGUCAGAGAAGCUGCUUUUGCAGUGGUAAUAGUGUCUGCUGAGACUCAUAUCUCGCUAAAGUAAUGUGAUUACAUGUUUAUAUCAGUUAGGUUUCUUUGAAGGAACAGAACUGAUAGAAAAAAGUGUGUGUGUGGUGUGUGUGUGUCUGUGUGCUUGAUAUUUGUUAGAGUAGCUUACAGGGUGUAGUUUGGGUAGUCCCACAAUGGCUGACAGAAAGGCCAGGAAUCUGGCAGUUGUUCAGCCUGAGAGACUGGAUGUCUCAGCAGUCCCAAUCUGUUGCUGAAGUCCCAGGGACAUCCAAGACAGCUUGGGUUUCAAUCUAUGUUGAAAUCCCAAAGAAGUCAGUUCUAGUAACUAGCAAACAAAUCUUUCAGCAACAUGAUAGAUGAACGUGCCAAGUGAGAGUGAGGGCAAACAGGCAAAGCCCAAAACACUUCUUUCUCUCAUGCUCUUCUAUGUGGGCUGCCACUAGAAUUUAGGGUGGGUCUUCCAACCCCGAAUGAGUCACUCAAGAAAAUCCCUGACAGGUAUACCCAGCUGCUUGCAUUUUAGUUCCAGAUGUAAUCAAGUUGACAACCAAAUUAGCCAUUGCACUGUUGAAUACCAAUCCAGAAAUAGGAGAUCUAUAUUACUCUCUUUGAGGCUUGGGGAACACUAUAUAUGAAAAGACUGAAUGAAUGAAAUUGCUGCAAGACUGCUGUGGAAUGCUGACUUCUUUACAGGAAUGACCACUGCAGUCUUGAACUCAAGAGCAGCUUGUAAUUACCCAUAUAAGAUCUGUACUAGAUUGGGACCAAGAAUACCCUUCCAUGGAAGAGUAGUGUAUUUGUGGGGUCCUGCCUUCCAUGGGGAUUUAUACAUGGUAUAUGGGUGAUGUGUGAGGGAGAGACGUUUUCUUCAGUGAUGUAGCCACUGAUAAGGUGCCCACAUUCCUCUAAAUAAUCAUAAUAUUUUUGAGUCUCUCUGUUUCUCUGACUCUGUCUCUCAUAACACCCACCCACCCACACAAACACACAAACACACAUACACAUAUAGACAAAAGUAGAGGCAAGCAAAUUGGGAAGAUGAAGAGGAUUAAUAGGAGCAGAGGGGAUAAGAUGAGGCAAUGUUUGCACCCAUAUGAAAAUGUCAUAAUGAAAAACAUUAUGUAUAUAAUUAAAAUGUGCUAAUAAAAACAUUUUAAAAACUUGGAAUAGUGACACACACCUUUAAUCCCAGAACUUGGGAGGUGGAGGCUAAAGGAUCCGAACUUAGUAUCUUCAUGUCAUAACCUUCUAACUGCUGGGAUUAUAAACCUGUACUAUAAAACCUUGCCACCUCCAUUUCUUAAGUUGAAAUACCUGCCAAGGCCUAUGUUGGAAAAAAAAAGCUGCAUUUUGGAUUUUUCUAGUCAGUACAUUGUGGGGCAGAGUAUUGACCAAAGGCUUUUUACCUUUCCAUUCAUUCUUACAGACAUCAAGUAGAGAACCAUCUUGACUGAAGCUAUUUAAAUUUGAGUUGUAUGUCAGAAACGAACAGCAGGGAAGAUAUUGGGCAUCAAACACUCUCUCUGGAGCAUCUUAGGCUGUGUAUUCCAGAAGCAGAACAAAAGCUGGAACUGCAGUGUGUUCCCAGAUACCUUUAUGGAUGAUGGUGGGGACAAUGGAAUUCCAAAAUUCUUUUAUAGGAGAGAGCUGUGGGAACCUGUUUUGCUGAUGUCCUUAAUCCUGGCAUCUCAGUUUCAGUACCUAUACAAAACCACUGGCUACAGGUUAUACCCAGGACUCCGAGGAUGUGUUCCUUGUUCUAAGUAGCUUCUGCUUGGCCCUGCAUCAGAGCCUAUGUUCUGCUAAGGAUCCAGAUCCACCUUGGCUUGGAGAGGGGUUCCUGGGAGAAGGAGUGUUUGAGAGCUGAAAAAAUAACAGACUGGGAGUCAGUUCCUGUGUACAAGCUGAUGGUCUGUGUUCUGCUCGAGACAGCUUUCUCUAGAGUUCUUCAGACAGCUCAUCCAGAUAGCUCAGACUAAGGCCCAGUCCUUUAUUUACAUACCAAUCCAGUCAUUUACUCCAGGGUCUCUUUUAAUUAUCCCCAGAAUCAGUAUUCCAUGUUCCCAGCCCCCUGAUUCUUGGAAACAGACAGCAAGCAUUUUUUUUUAGCAUUGCAAAUGAAUUCAGGGAUCUGCCUGCAUUUGUAAGCACAAACAAUAAACUUAGCUUCGUGGAAUCCUGUCCUGAGAUUAAAGUUCCAACCAUGCCUGGACCUAAAUUCACUCUGUCCCAGGCUGACCUUGAAUUUAGGAAUUUGCCUACCUUUGUAUCUCUCUGUCUUUGUAUCUUUCUGACAAGCUGGCUCACAGUACAGCUGCUUAUAUUCUUUUAGGCUCUUGAAGCCCUUCAUAUAAUUAAUAUUGCAUCCUUAUAUUUUGCAUAGUUAAGAAAUUAUAUAUUUUUGGACUCCUAUUUUCAGAGUUCUUUCCCAUAGCCUUAAGAACUGUCCUGGACAUCACAACAUUUAGCAUUUUUGUUAUGUUCAUAGCCACACUCUGUCUCCUAUAUUCAUGCUGUCUCUGAUUAUCAUGGAAUCAUUAAUAUUAGCAAAGAGGAAGUUCCCUGAUAAUCUUAGCAGGGGGAAUAUUUCCCGAAAAAGUAACAUGAACUAAUACACACACACACACACACACACACACACACACACACAAGCCUCAUACCCACCAACCAUCCUCGUUCACAGAGGCCCAUGGCCUACUAGCUCUGUUCCUGGGGCAGGAAACAAUGUUACACCAUCCCUUCUGCAUGGCCUUGCAGGACUCAGCAAUGCUCUCCUCAGGUUAGAGCCCUUAGGUCAGUGGUUCUCAAGCCUCCUAACUUUGUGAUCCUUUAAUACAGUUCUUUGUGUUGUAGUGACCCUCAAACAGAGAAUUAUCUUUGUUUUUAUGUCACAACUGUAAUCUUGUUAGUGUUAUGAAUUGUACUAUAUGCAAGAUAUCUGAUAUAUGCCCUUGUGAAAGGUCCAUUGACCCACCCCCCCAUAGGGGGUCACAGCCCAUAAGUUGACCACUGCCUUAGGUAGUUUGAGCCUGUCUCUUCCAUGAGCUAAAGUUAUUUUUAGAUGCCUGCAGAGAUUAUAAGGAGGGAUGUCCACAGAGUCCUAGAGAUGCAAACAUGCAGGGCUUUUUGAUAUUCUGAGCACUAAAGCUGCCAAGGUGGAUCCCUGAUAUAGAACCCUGAAAAAAUGUCAGGAGAUAAUGUAAACUUUCUCUAAAUUCAGCCCACUCUGCAGAACUCAGAAAAUAUUGGCUUUUUCACCAGUACAUCCUUUUGAGACCAUCUCUCAUAUUUACCCUUGCAUAGGGAUAGCUCUCCUCCCCCUGGACAUGGUUCCAUGGGGCAGCUGCUAGGAUGCUUUGUCCCAAGUCUGAGUUUCACCAGAUCCCCUCCUUUCUCUUGCAUCCACUCACCUCAGCACAUAGCCACUCACCUAAUGCUUUGCUUCUGUCCUAUGCAGGAGCUGGUGAGUCCUGGAUGUGUCUGUUCCACAAUAUCUCCUGUUUUGUACCCCCAGUUUAUUUCAGUCUAUUCUGAGAAUUUCCCAGCUGAGAGAAUUUCAUUGUUCUCCAUUGUAUCUCCUUCAAUUAUGAUUCAGGGUGCUGUGGAGUACUGAAUGUUUGCAUUCUGGAAGUUUCUUAGUUGUUUUCCUGAAUCGCUGCCUGAAACAUAAAACAAUUAUGUAUUUGUUUGUUUACUCUUUUGUGUGUGUUUAUAUGUGUAUAUGAAGGUGCUCAUGUGCUACAGUGCAUGUUGAAGUCAGAGGACAACAUUUGGAAGUUGAGUCUCUUCUGCUACAUUGUGUGAUCUGUGGAUGAAACUCAGGUCAUAAAGCAUAUGUAAGAGGACACUGGCUGCUCUAGGACUGGAGAUACACAUAGUGGUGAGCCAUCACUCAAAUCAGACUUGGGCCAUCUAUAAGAGCAACAGGAGCUCUUAAUGGCUAAGCCAACUUUCCAGCCCCUAUUUAUUGUUCCUGAUUUGAAUUCUAUGAUUUUAAUUUGCAUUUCUCUCA